AAGUCGUAACAAGGUUUCCGUAGGUGAACCUGCGGAAGGAUCAUCAAUGAAAUUUUUCUUCAUUUCAUAUUAACAAGGGAAAAUUAUUUUAAUUUUCUCCAGUCCUUAACCUUUUUAUUUGGGAAGUUGGAGUGUUUUUUUUAAGUAAAAAGCCUCCAAAUAUUCUAAACAAAUUUAUCAUAAUAGAAUUUUUUCCUUUCUAUUUUGUACUUUAAUUUUUCAUAAGUUUUAUUGAUUUUCAAUCAAAAAUACAACUUUUAGCAAUGGAUCUCUAGGCUCUC
rnacentral:misc_RNA from 1 species